AAUCUGCAGCCUUGUGAGUGCCCUCAGUUGUGUUUGUACUCUGGGACAGUUGGGCUUGCAGAGAGAGCAUUUGACAGAGGAAGCCGAGGCAGGCCUGUGGCAAGUAUCAACAGCUCCAUGUGCAAUAUUCCUCUGACACUCCCAGCACUGUUGCCACGGAGGUAAUGACCACCCAGUGUCAUUAUCCAUCCAUCAACAGUCAGAACAACUCUGCAGUGUGAUAUUGUUUGGCAACUUGAGAGCUGUUGCCAGACACUGAAAACUGCUACAUGU